rnacentral:rRNA from 1 species
UAGGGAAUAUUGGACAAUGGGCGCAAGCCUGAUCCAGCAACGCCGCGUGAAUGAUGAAGGCCUUAGGGUUGUAAAAUUCUUUCGCUAGGGAAGAUAAUGACUGUACCUAGUAAAGAAGCCCCGGCUAACUCCGUGCCAGCAGCCGCGGUAAUACGGAGGGGGCUAGCGUUGUUCGGAAUUACUGGGCGUAAAGCGUGCGUAGGCGGACUGGAAAGUCAGAUGUGAAAUCCCGGGGCUCAACCCCGGAACUGCAUUUGAAACUAUCAGUCUAGAGUUCUGGAGAGGUAAGUGGAAUUCCUAGUGUAGAGGUGAAAUUCGUAGAUAUUAGGAGGAACACCAGAGGCGAAGGCGGCUUACUGGACAGAUACUGACGCUGAGGCACGAAAGUGUGGGGAGCAAACAGG